UUCACCUCUUGUGUGUGUUCGUGUGAUCUGCUUUUCUAUAGUGCGAUGGUGUGUCCCUUAAACCGGUUUGGAUCAUGCCGCUGAAGUCCAAAACACUCGCGCCUCAAGACUUUGCACCUUUACACACUAAACAUGGAAAAGACCGCUUUAGCAAUUAUGAUGAAUCUUGGAUUAAUAGAGGAAUCCAAGAUUUCAAGAACAUUACCUUGGAGGGCACCAACUAAUGUUUUCCGUGUCAAAGAGGAUGUUCGUCCUAUAUUCUGUGAGCAGGGCCAACAGACCAAAGAGUUACAUUUGAAGGACCACUGGUUGGGAUCAAUACCCACAGGGGCGGUGGGGUGAUUCCAGGAACCCAUCAUACGGAGCCCUUAAUGACCACGAGAUAAUUUCAUUGUCUUGUUGUUUGAAUCUAUAAUUAUUGUAUUCAUAAACAGUUUUGCACAGACACUGCAUGCAACAUCUUCAUAACUUGUAGACUCUAUCUUCCAGAAAGAAAUAUAGUUGAAAGUGAGCAUUUACAUAAGAUCCAGAAAUAUUGGUUCAGCAGAAAAUAUUGUAUGCCCAACACUCUUCUUGAUGGGCUCUGUCUAUUAGUUUUCUACGAAAAGAAACAUUUAUCUGUUUCUUAGUGCCAAUUAAAUCAUCUUCCCAUGCAACAUAAUUCAGUUGUUGGGCAUUGGCUA